AGAGAGGGAGAGACCUGGAAGAGAGGGAGAGACCUGGAAGAGAGGGAGAGACCGGGAAGAGAGGGAGAGACCGGGAAGAGAGGGAGAGACCGGGAAGAAGGGGGUAUACCAGUUUGUACUCAAGAGAUUCUAUAAAUCUGUUCGUAUGUGAAAUUCUAUGGUUGUAUGUGAAAUUCUAUCUCAGGAGUAGGACCUGGUAUCUACACUGGAACCAAUCUACCAUUCUAACUCAGAAUGAAGCUACGUAAGAACUAGGACUGGUAAUCAAGGACAAUGAUUCCAAAGAUGAUUUAAUCUCUCGAAGAUUCCAAUUCCGGGCAGAGGCCUGAUGGGAGUUCCGGAGUGGAGUUUCCCUGUUUCCUCCCUCCUUUGUUAUUUCUAUUGAAAGGUUGCACCUUCGUGUCAUGUGUCACGCCUUGGUCUUAGUAUUUUGUGUUUUCUUUAUUAUUUGUUCAGGCCAGGGUGUGACAUGGGUUUAUAUAUUGUAUUUACGUAUUGGGGUUUGUAGUAUUUGGGAUUGCGGCUGAGUAGGGGUGUUGUAUAGGCUUGGCUGCCUGAGGCGGUUCUCAAUCAGAGUCAGGUGAUUCUCGUUGUCUCUGAUUGGGAACCGUAUUUAGGUAGCCUGAGUUUCACUGUGUAUUUCGUGGGUGAUUGUUCCUGUCUCUGUGUAGUUUCACCAGAUAGGCUGUAAUUAGGUUUCACGUUCCGUUUGUUGUUUUGUAUUUUGUAUCGUUAUUUCAUGUGUCACUUUUUCCAUUAAAGUCAUGAGUAACCACCA